GUUUAGGCAUUUUGUGUUGUAUGUGUGGUGCAGUGUUAUUUCUUCUUCAUUUUUAUAGCAAAACAAAUUUUUAAUAAAUAAAAACAUUAAAAUUUAAUAAUAAAAAGAUCAAGAAUUACUUUAGUAAACAAAUAAUUAACACAAACAACAAGAAAAAUGCAUGACGUGGGUAGUUUUCAAAGAAUUGAAAAAAUUGGCGAGGGCACUUAUGGCAUUGUUUAUAAGGCGCGAGAUACCAAAACUGGCAAGGAUGUAGCUCUUAAGAAAAUACGUUUGGAAAGUGAAACUGAGGGUGUACCCUCUACAGCUAUACGAGAAAUUUCUCUGCUAAAAGAUUUACAACAUGACAAUAUAGUGCAAUUAUUUGAUGUUGUAGUUGCCGACUCAAGUCUUUAUAUGGUAUUUGAAUAUCUUAAUAUGGAUUUGAAAAAAUUAAUGGACAAAAAGAAGGAAGUAUUUACACCAAAAUUAAUAAAAAGUUACAUGUUUCAAAUGUUUGAUGCCAUUGCAUUCUGUCAUACAAAUCGUAUUUUGCAUAGAGAUUUGAAGCCACAAAAUUUACUGGUAGAUGCGGCCGGAAAUAUUAAGUUAGCUGAUUUCGGUUUGGCCAGAGCCUUUAAUAUGCCUAUGAGAGCCUACACCCAUGAAGUUGUUACGUUAUGGUAUCGUGCUCCGGAAAUUCUUUUGGGUACAAAAUUCUAUGCCACUGGUAUGGAUAUAUGGAGUUUGGGUUGCAUUUUCGCAGAAAUGAUAAUGCGACGUUCUUUAUUUCCCGGCGACAGUGAAAUUGAUCAAUUAUACAGAAUAUUUCGAACUCUAGGCACACCUGAUGAGGAAACAUGGCCUGGUGUAUCACAAUUGCCAGAUUAUAAAGCCAAAUUUCCCAGAUGGGAAAAAUCAAAUGUACCAGAAAUUGUAGCUAAACAUGAUGGUUAUGAACUCUUUAAGGCCAUGAUGGUUUAUGAUCCCAAUGAAAGAAUAUCAGCUAAAAAUGCAAUGCUUCAUCCCUAUUUCGAUAAUUUAGAAAUAGUCGAUCAUGUUGACUUACCUAGAGAAACAUGACUAUAUUAAUAAUAAUUCCACAUCUUCGACCUCGCAUUUUCCCUAGUUGCAUUUAAAUAAAUUUAUUAUAUUAACCUACGUACAUAUAUGAAUACUAAUUAAUAUCAAGAAUAAAUUAUACAAAAUUUAAAUCAA
rnacentral:misc_RNA from 1 species